GACGAACGCUGGCGGCGUGCUUAACACAUGCAAGUCGAACGGAAAGGCCCUGCUUUUGUGGGGUGCUCGAGUGGCGAACGGGUGAGUAACACGUGAGUAACCUGCCCUUGACUUUGGGAUAACUUCAGGAAACUGGGGCUAAUACCGGAUAGGAGCUCCUGCUGCAUGGUGGGGGUUGGAAAGUUUCGGCGGUUGGGGAUGGACUCGCGGCUUAUCAGCUUGUUGGUGGGGUAGUGGCUUACCAAGGCUUUGACGGGUAGCCGGCCUGAGAGGGUGACCGGCCACAUUGGGACUGAGAUACGGCCCAGACUCCUACGGGAGGCAGCAGUGGGGAAUAUUGCACAAUGGGCGGAAGCCUGAUGCAGCAACGCCGCGUGCGGGAUGACGGCCUUCGGGUUGUAAACCGCUUUCGCCUGUGACGAAGCGUGAGUGUCGGUAAUGGGUAAAGAAGCACCGGCUAACUACGUGCCAGCAGCCGCGGUGAUACGUAGGGUGCGAGCGUUGUCCGGAUUUAUUGGGCGUAAAGGGCUCGUAGGUGGUUGAUCGCGUCGGAAGUGUAAUCUUGGGGCUUAACCCUGAGCGUGCUUUCGAUACGGGUUGACUUGAGGAAGGUAGGGGAGAAUGGAAUUCCUGGUGGAGCGGUGGAAUGCGCAGAUAUCAGGAGGAACACCAGUGGCGAAGGCGGUUCUCUGGGCCUUUCCUGACGCUGAGGAGCGAAAGCGUGGGGAGCGAACAGGCUUAGAUACCCUGGUAGUCCACGCUGUAAACGGUGGGUACUAGGUGUGGGGUCCAUUCCACGGGUUCCGUGCCGUAGCUAACGCUUUAAGUACCCCGCCUGGGGAGUACGGCCGCAAGGCUAAAACUCAAAGGAAUUGACGGGGCCCCGCACAAGCGGCGGAGCAUGCGGAUUAAUUCGAUGCAACGCGUAGAACCUUACCUGGGUUUGACAUGGAUCGGGAGUGCUCAGAGAUGGGUGUGCCUCUUUUGGGGUCGGUUCACAGGUGGUGCAUGGCUGUCGUCAGCUCGUGUCGUGAGAUGUUGGGUUAAGUCCCGCAACGAGCGCAACCCUUGUUCACUGUUGCCAGCACGUUAUGGUGGGGACUCAGUGGAGACCGCCGGGGUCAACUCGGAGGAAGGUGGGGAUGACGUCAAGUCAUCAUGCCCCUUAUGUCCAGGGCUUCACGCAUGCUACAAUGGCUGGUACAGAGAGUGGCGAGCCUGUGAGGGUGAGCGAAUCUCGGAAAGCCGGUCUCAGUUCGGAUUGGGGUCUGCAACUCGACCUCAUGAAGUCGGAGUCGCUAGUAAUCGCAGAUCAGCAACGCUGCGGUGAAUACGUUCCCGGG
rnacentral:rRNA from 1 species